rnacentral:rRNA from 1 species
CGCGUAGGCGGACCUUCAAGUCGGGUGUGAAAUCUGGUGGCUCAACCGCCAGCCUGCAUCCGAUACUGUUGGCCUUGAGUACGGGAGAGGAGAGCGGAAUUCCAGGUGUAGCGGUGAAAUGCGUAGAUAUCUGGAAGAACACCGGUUGCGAAGGCGGCUCUCUGGACCGAUACUGACGCUAAAGCGCGAAGGCUUGGGUAGCAAACAGGAUUAGAUACCCUGGUAGUCC